rnacentral:lncRNA from 1 species
UUGAAGCAUAGACAUAGUGGCACCAAGGUGGCUUGUGUCAACCUCGGGUACGUCAUCAACAGUCAAAUCAACCAAGGGACCAAAAAAUGUAGUCGAAGGACAAGACUCCACUUCCGUGUCCACAGGGAUAGUGUCCUCCGCAUCCCUGCAUCAAAACACGGAGUCAUCACACAUGCUUCAGAAAGAUCAAAAACACGACUUAAAAACUCACCAGGACGAACGCGGUGGUAGACGCAUGCAUUUCUUCUUAGUGACCGUCAGUCAAGUACUCGGCACCACAGGGUCAGCCGAAGGUGCGAUAUUUUCACCAAGUCCUGAAAAAGUCGAAGAUAAGACUACGAAAACUACGGAUAAGCAAAAAUAGUUAGAAAAAACUCACCACUAGAAAUAACAUUGGGCAACAAGGAGCCAGCGGCAAUCACCGGUGAUUCUGCCUUCGCAACAUCUGCCACCCCAGUAGCCUCAUCACCACCAAAGUCGCAUCGAUAGCCUUCCC